rnacentral:rRNA from 1 species
CCUACGGGAGGCAGCAGUGAGGAAUAUUGGUCAAUGGACGCAAGUCUGAACCAGCCAUGCCGCGUGCAGGAAGACGGCUCUAUGAGUUGUAAACUGCUUUUGUACGAGGGUAAACGCAGAUACGCGUAUCUGUCUGAAAGUAUCGUACGAUUAAGGAUCGGCUAAGUCCGUGCCAGCAGCCGCGGUAAUACGGAGGAUUCAAGCGUUAUCCGGAUUUAUUGGGUUUAAAGGGUGCGUAGGCGGUCGGAUAAGUUAGAGGUGAAAUCCCGAGGCUUAACUUCGGAAUUGCCUCUGAUACUGUUAGGCUAGAGAGUAGUUGCGGUAGGCGGAAUGUAUGGUGUAGCGGUGAAAUGCUUAGAGAUCAUACAGAACACCGAUUGCGAAGGCAGCUUACCAAGCUACUUCUGACGUUGAGGCACGAAAGCGUGGGGAGCAAACAGGAUUAGAUACCCCAGUAGUC